GGUGGCUCAGUGGUAGAGUGCUUGCCUUGCAUGUAUGAGGCUCAGGGUUCGAUUCCUUAGCACCA
rnacentral:tRNA from 1 species